GACGAACGCUGGCGGCGUGCUUAACACAUGCAAGUCGAACGGAAAGGCCCUGCUUUUGUGGGGUGCUCGAGUGGCGAACGGGUGAGUAACACGUGAGUAACCUGCCCUUGACUUUGGGAUAACUUCAGGAAACUGGGGCUAAUACCGGAUAGGAGCUCCUGCUGCAUGGUGGGGGUUGGAACGUUUCGGCGGUUGGGGAUGGACUCGCGGCUUAUCAGCUUGUUGGUGGGGUAGUGGCUUACCAAGGCUUUGACGGGUAGCCGGCCUGAGAGGGUGACCGGCCACAUUGGGACUGAGAGACGGCCCAGACGCCUACGGGAGGCAGCAGUGGGGAAUAUUGCACAAUGGGCGGGAGCCUGAUGCAGCAACGCCGCGUGCGGGAUGACGGCCUUCGGGUUGUAAACCGCUUUCGCCUGUGACGAAGCGGGAGUGACGGUAAUGGGUAAAGAAGCACCGGCUAACUACGUG
rnacentral:rRNA from 1 species